GAAUGAGUGAGUGUUGAGAAGAGCUGAGGAUCUUCUAAUAUCAGUGUGUUGAAGUGUUGUUUCUCUCUCUCUGCUGGAGUGUGUGUUCACUCGAGUGGAAUAGAGGUUUUUGUACGAGUGUUUCAUUAGAUUGGAUCACUGUGGUGGACAUUCGGUGGAGGAACUAAACUGGUGAUCACUGGUCCCACAGUGAAGCCCUCAGUGUCUCUGCUGCCGCCCUCUUCUCUGCAGAUCUCUGGAGACUCAGCCGCACUGCUCUGCCUGCUCAGCUCUUACUCUCCACAGGGGGCGCUGGUGAGCUGGACACUGGACGGGUCAGAGGUCACCGAGGGGGUUCUGACCAGCGCAGAGAGCCAGCAGGACGGCCGCUACAGCCGCAGUAGCGUCCUGACCCUCAGCAAAGCACGCUGGGAAGAGGGAGAGCUGUACGUCUGCAGAGUAACACAUGAUGGAGCUCCUCAUGAGGUCUCGUUCCACAAGAGCUCUGAGUGCUGAUGUUUCUCUCCUGAAGAUGAGCCGUAUCUGAGUGUCCUGUGUCAGGCAGGAUUCACAUGAGUCUAGUGCUGCAGCUGGAGUGCUUUACAACUCAAUACUCAAACAGUGUGUGUGUGUGUUUGUGUGUGUGUGUUUGCUGCAACAUUCAAUAAAGCUUCUCAACAAGUUCA